CAAAUACUCCCUCCGUUCCGAAUUACUUGUCGCACGUAUGGAUGUAUCUAGAUGUAUUUUAGUUUUAGAUACAUCCAUUUCAGCGACAAGUAAUUUGGAACGGAGGAAGUAUUUA
rnacentral:pre_miRNA from 1 species